rnacentral:rRNA from 1 species
UGGGGAAUAUUGCACAAUGGGCGCAAGCCUGAUGCAGCCAUGCCGCGUGUAUGAGGAAGGCCUUCGGGUUGUAAAGUACUUUCAGCGGGGAGGAAGGGAGUAAAGUUAAUACCUUUGCUCAUUGACGUUACUCGCAGCAGAAGCACCGGCUAACUCCGUGCCAGCAGCCGCGGUCAUACGGAGGGUGCAAGCGUUAAUCGGAAUUACUGGGCGUAAAGCGCACGCAGGCGGUUUGUUAAGUCAGAUGUGAAAUCCCCGGGCUCAACCUGCGAACUGCAUCUGAUACUGGCAAGCUUGAGUCUCGUAGAGGGGGGUAGAAUUCCAGGUGUAGCGGUGAAAUGCGUAGAGAUCUGGAGGAAUACCGGUGGCGAAGGCGGCCCCCUAGACGUAGACUAACGCUCAGGUGCGAAAGCGUGGGGGGCAAACAGG